rnacentral:rRNA from 1 species
CCUACGGGAGGCAGCAGUGAGGAAUAUUGGUCAAUGGGCGGGAGCCUGAACCAGCCAAGUCGCGUGAGGGAAGACGGUCCAAUGGAUCGUAAACCUCUUUAGGCGGGGAGCAAUGCCGGGCACGCGUGCCCGGCUGGAUAGUACCCGCAGAAUAAGCAUCGGCUAACUCAGUGCCAGCAGCCGAGUGAAUACGUAGGAUCCGAGCGUUCUCCGGAUUUUUUGGGUUUAAGGGGUGAGUAGGCGGCCUUUUAAGUCAGCGGGGAAAGUCUGUGGAUCAACCAUAGCAUUGCCGUUGAAACGGGGAGGAUGGAGUUUGUUGGAAGCAGGCGGAAUGCGGGGGGUAGCGGUGAAAUGCUUAGAUAGCGCGCAGAACCCCGAUUGCGAAGGCAGCCUGCCAGGCCAUGACUGACGCUGAUGCACGAAAGCGUGGGGAUCAAACAGGAUUAGAUACCCUUGUAGUC